GACGAACGCUGGCGGCGUGCUUAAUACAUGCAAGUCGAACGGAAAGGCCCUGCGCUUGCGGGGUGCUCGAGUGGCGAACGGGUGAGUAACACGUGAGUAACCUGUCCCUGACUUUGGGAUAACUUCAGGAAACUGGGGCUAAUAUCGGAUAGGAGCUCUUGCUGCACGGUGGGGGUUGGAAAGUUUCGGCGGUUGGGGAUGGACUCGCGGGUUAUCAGCUUGUUGGUCGGGUAGUGGCUUACCAAGGCUUUGACGGGUAGCCGGCCUGAGAGGGUGACCGGCGACAAUAGGACUACGAUACGGCCCAGACUCGUACGGGAGGCAGCAGUGGGGAGUAUUGCGCAGUGGGGGGAAGCCUGAUACAGCAACGCCGCGUGCGGGAUGACGGCCUUCGGGUUGUGAACCGCUUUCGCAUGUAACGAGGCGUGAGUGACGGUACUGGGUAAAGAAGCACCGGCUAACUACGUG
rnacentral:rRNA from 1 species